AGUGAACGCUGGCGGUAGGCCUAACACAUGCAAGUCGAACGGCAGCACAGUAAGAGCUUGCCCUUACGGGUGGCGAGUGGCGGACGGGUGAGGAAUACAUCGGAAUCUACUUUUUCGUGGGGGAUAACGUAGGGAAACUUACGCUAAUACCGCAUACGACCUACGGGUGAAAGCAGGGGAUCUUCGGACCUUGCGCGAUUGAAUGAGCCGAUGUCGGAUUAGCUAGUUGGCGGGGUAAAGGCCCACCAAGGCGACGAUCCGUAGCUGGUCUGAGAGGAUGAUCAGCCACACUGGAACUGAGACACGGUCCAGACUCCUACGGGAGGCGGCAGUGGGGAAUAUUGGACAAUGGGCGCAAGCCUGAUCCAGCCAUACCGCGUGGGUGAAGAAGGCCUUCGGGUUGUAAAGCCCUUUUGUUGGGAAAGAAAAGCAGCAGGUUAAUACCCCGCUGUUCUGACGGUACCCAAAGAAUAAGCACCGGCUAACUUCGUG
rnacentral:rRNA from 1 species